rnacentral:rRNA from 1 species
CACGUAGGGUGCGAGCGUUGUCCGGAAUUAUUGGGCGUAAAGAGCUCGUAGGCGGUGUGUCGCGUCGGCCGUGAAAACCUGCAGCUUAACUGUGGGCGUGCGGUCGAUACGGGCAUCACUGGAGUUCGGCAGGGGAGACUGGAAUUCCUGGUGUAGCGGUGAAAUGCGCAGAUAUCAGGAGGAACACCGGUGGCGAAGGCGGCGCUCUGGACCGAGACUGACGCUGAGGCGCGAAAGCGUGGGGAGCAAACAGG